rnacentral:rRNA from 1 species
GACGAACGCUGGCGGCGUGCUUAACACAUGCAAGUCGAACGGAAAGGCCCUGCUUUUGUGGCGUGCUCGAGUGGCGAACGGGUGAGUAACACGUGAGUAACCUGCCCUUGACUUUGGGAUAACUUCAGGAAACUGGGGCUAAUACCGGAUAUGAGCUCCUGCUGCAUGGUGGGGGUUGGAAAGGUUCGGCGGUUGGGGAUGGACUCGCGGCUUGUCAGCCUGGUGGUGGGGUAGUGGCUUACCAAGGCUUUGACGGGUAGCCGGCCUGAGAGGGUGACCGGCCACAUUGGGACUGAGAUACGGACCAGACGCCUACGGGAGGCAGCAGGGGGGAAUAGUGAACAAUGGGCGGAAGCCUGAUGCAGCAACGCCGCGUGCGGGAUGACGGCCUUCGGGUUGUAAACCGCUUUCGCCUGUGACGCAGCGUGAGUGACGGUAAUGGGUAAAGAAGCACCGGCUAACUACGUG